CACUCCGUGUUGUAUAGUUUCUGUUUGCAUUCCGUGCGUGUGCCCUUCCAUUGAGUCAUAUAUAGGUAUACUCGCUCCGGUGAGUGGUGAGGAGAUGGCGGUGGUCGCCGGCUUGAGCAGGGAGGAGCGGUGGAGCCUGGCGGGUGCGACGGCGCUCGUCACCGGCGGCAGCAAAGGGAUCGGGCACGCGAUCGUGGAGGAGCUGGCCGGGUUCGGGGCUCGUGUGCACACGUGCUCCCGGAACGCGGCGGAGCUGGAGGAAUGCCGCCGCCGGUGGGAGGAGAAGGGGAUUCCGGUCACCGUCUCUGUCUGCGACGUCUCCGUGCGCGCCGACAGGGAGAAGCUCCUGGAGACUGUCAGGGAGAACUUCGAUGGCAAGCUCGACAUACUGGUGAACAAUGCGGGGCAGAGCCGUGGAGUGGACAGCCGAAGACUACUCGAAUAUCAUGACGACUAACCUGGAGUCGAGCUUCCACCUUAGCCAGCUCGCGCACCCUCUUCUCAUCCGCUCAUCCAUCGCCGGAGGAGGCAGCAUCGUCAACAUCUCCACCAUCUCAGGUUCAAUUGCCUAUCCAGGCGUCGCGCUUUACGCCAUUUCAAAAGGAGGAAUGAACCAGCUCACGAGAAGUCUUGCUUCUGAGUGGGCUAAUGACAACAUUCGUGUAAAUGCCAUCGCCCCAGGUUUUAUCACCACCGAUAUGACAAGAAAUAUAAGGUCUGAUGUCCUCGAGAAAGAGUACUCAAAGACUCCGAUGAGGCGAAGCGGCGAGCCGGUGGAGGUUGCAGCGGCGGUGUCGUUCCUCUGUAUGCCUGCAGCCUCCUUCAUCACUGGCCAGGUCAUCUUCGUCGACGGUGGCCGUACAAUUAGUGCUUAGCUUAUCUAAUCUCUUAAUUACCAUGGCAUAUGUGACAAAUAUUGUUAAGUCUGGCGUCUCGCUUCUUUCUUUAUUUGUUAAUUAGCGUUGGAAAGCAACACAUUCCAUCGGCAUUAUUUUGGUAAGAAUAAAGUGCCAGAAGAAAGAAAAUUGCAAGACUGCGCCAUUA